UACGGAGGGUGCAAGCGUUAUCCGGAAUCACUGGGUUUAAAGGGUGCGUAGGCGGUUGUAUAAGUCAGGGGUGAAAGCACGCAGCUUAACUGUGUAAUUGCCUUUGAUACUGUACGGCUUGAAUAGGGUUGAGGUUGGCGGAAUGUGACAUGUAGCGGUGAAAUGCAUAGAUAUGUCAUAGAACACCGAUUGCGAAGGCAGCUGACUGGGCCUAUAUUGACGCUGAGGCACGAAAGCGUGGGGAGCGAACAGGAUUAGAAACCCUAGUAGUCC
rnacentral:rRNA from 1 species